CCGAAUUAGCUUAGAAUGGAAUUCAAUUACAUUGAUCCAAAGGGGCGUAACCGAAUUCUUACUCUACUUUUAAUCAGAACUGUAUGCUACGCGAUCGACGGCACCCAUCCCCGAACCGUGCCCAUGAGAUCCAAUCUCCACCGUUUCAUCCGGGGUCUACGAUUGACGCUCCUCUCCCUAUCACGAACAACCCUAGGCAGCGCCGCCGAGCUCCUACGACGGAUGCUCGCUGGGGACCACGAACCCGAUGUCCAAAAGCCAAACACUCAAUAGACCAGUGAUAAAUGAAGAAGAGGACCUAGCAAAACAGGACGACGUGAGUUUACCUGAAGCGAGGACGCUAGUGGUGCCGCCUAUGCUGUGGCGCGGCUCUGAGUCUCCGGUGAUGAAUCCCAGCCACCCCAACAGCCCAUCACUCCCGCAACCACCACGGAUACGUUACGCGAACCCUAGAGAUCGUCCAUGGCAAACCUCCGAAGGUGGAGCAGCGAUGUACGCAUGAGUCGACCAAGAUGGCUCCAUCUUCUCUUCGGCACCAACGGCGACUUCUCUGUUCUCUGUGUCUGGCUCCGAUUCCGGUUUAUGGGUGGAGGGUCAAGGGACACAGCGAGGUGGUUGGAACUGCCCUGCGAAUCCCGCGCGGGAUCCAUGUAGUCGGUCGUUCAGGCAAGCGUAAAGGGGAAGGGGAGUCUGGAGGCUUGGGCCCGCGUGCUAAUGAGCAGAGGCAUUCAGUGGAUACGCGCGCGAAGUCUGCAUUCAGCGCCAAGUUGAGGCGUGAGUUGGGCUGCGUAGGAGAAAAGUAGGCUGGCCCGCGGUGAGGGUAUGCUAGGCCGACGUGUGAGGUUAGGGUGGGCUAGUCUGAGGGG
rnacentral:lncRNA from 1 species